rnacentral:lncRNA from 1 species
GGCGUAUGAAAUGUUUCGGAGCAUAUCAAUGACAAAUGAAACAUUUCGAAACAUAUCAAUGGCAUAUGGACCAUUUCGAAGCAUAUCAAAGAACGAAUACGAAAUAGAAGCUCAGACGUCGUACCCUAGCAUAGUGCAUGUGAGGUUUAAAUCAGUGGUGGCUCCACGCCGUGAUGAGUUCUCGACUCCAUCCACGGGUAGCCCUUUCCUACUCGAGCCCUCUCACCCUACCCAAGUGCUAGGUCGGCUCUAAAUUUCAUAUCAAACAGAUAGAAGGUGAAGUGGGAUUCCAAACAUAAUAUGGUCUAUUCAUUUCUAAAUGACCACCAAACAUAAUCUAGAGCAUCACGGGCUCUAAGCACAUACCCUUUACCAUUUCUGGCAAAGGUCCAAAUAAUCCCACAAACACUAGAGUACAAAAGGGUAUUGUGAACAAUAAAUUGGGACAUAUCGGA